rnacentral:tRNA from 1 species
GUGGGUGUGCCAGAGUGGUUAUUGGGCAUGACUAGAAAUCAUAUGUGCUUUACUUGCGCAGGUUCGAAUCCUGCUGCUCAUG